ensembl:lncRNA
UUGGUUAACACAAGCACUCCUCCAACAUCCUCAACUGUAGCACAAUUGUUGACAACUGAUUCAGCAACCACAGCUAUUCCUGAAAUAACAGUGGUACUUCCAACAAUGAUUGGUGCAACAACAACAACUUUGGCUACCAGAAGUACCCUUUCAACAUUCUCCACUCUAGCUCCAACAUCAACAACCGAUACACCAACUACAACUAUGCCUGAAAAAACAUUAGCACUUCUAACAAAUGGUAUUAUUGUUGAGGCAACUAAAACUUUGGUUUCCACAACAACAAACAAUCCAACAUCUACUAUGGCUGAAACCACAACAACCCUUCCAGUAACUUUGGCCACACUUCCAACAUCCUUGACUAUAGAACAAUCUUUGGCUGCUACAACCAUCCCUCAAACAUCAUCAAAUAUAGCACCCAUGUUGACAACUGAUAGAGCAACUACAAAUUCACCCGAAACAGCAACAAUUCUUUCAGCAACAACAAUUGGUGCAACAACAACAACUCUGGCUGCCAAAAGCACCUCUCCAGCAUCCUCAUCUGUAGCACCAACAACUGAUGCAGCAACCACAACUAUGCCUGAAACAACAUCAGUCCUACCAACAACACCUAUUGGUGCAACAACAACUUUGACACAAGCACCCCUCUAACAUCAUCACUUCUAGAACCAUUGUUGACAUCUGAUGAAGAAACAACAACUGUGCCUAAAACAACAGUUCUUGAAACAACAGUUUUGUUUAACAUAAGCACCCUUGCAACAUCUUCAGUUGCAGCACCAAUGUUGACAACUGAUGCAGUAACCAAAACUAUUGGCGCAACAACAACAAAUAUCGCCAACACAAGCAUCCCUCCAUCAUUCUCAUCUUCAGCACCCUUAUCGACAAUUGAAUCAACAUCCACAACUAUGUUUGAAACAACAACAGUACUUCCUGUUACAACUACUAGUGCAACAACAACUUUGGCUGGCACAAAUACACUUCCAACAGCAACUAUAGCAGUCCUUGGCAAAACAAGCUUACCUCUAAUGAACAGAACUGGUUCAGCACUGGUUACAAGCAAACUGCAGUUUAACUCCUCAUCUCCAGUCCCCAGAGAAACUCAGGUCCUCAGUGUUAUCAAGACUCUUCUCAAAUCCAGAGAGUCACAGCUCAACAAAUCAGUUCAAGUGCUGAAUGUCACCUAUAAAAAUAUCUCAGAGACCUCUUAUGCAAUCAUCUUUACAUUUAACCUGAUUGACAUUAGUAUACCAAAGGACCCUGCAGUAAAGAAC